UUUUGAAACUAGAACAAAGUUCAACACCCGUUGGCUUCAGCACCCUAUGAAUUGCCCAACCCUGGUUAGAAAAAUGCAGAUAAUAGCAACCUGGGAAAACUGCCCUCCUGAAAUAGCACAGCCCCACAGCAUUUUGGCAACAGGUUUCCCCGUGGUGAGUCUUCUGGCUCUGCAACCGUGGAGACACCCAGGGAUGUAAACAGCAACGAGAAAAGGCCACUUGUGCCACUAUUAGGUUUUGCGGUGGUGAGCUCAUUUUUCCCCCCACACAGCGUCAGUUGUAAUUUUUUGUUGUUCCAUUUAAACUUUGAAUGAAAGUGUAAACACCGAGAGUUGAGGCCUUGUUGUCCUGCUUUUAUGCUAUGAGAGUUUCUCCCCCUCCUUUUAGUGACCUUGCUUCUCUAUUUCAGCUCCUUGUCUGAAGACAAGUUCCUUCAGGCUGCAGACCACUGCAGCCUCAAGAGCUGGGAUGGUUAGAAGGAGGUACCAAAGCCCCGCGCCUGGUGCCACUCCUGCCUGCGACAGGCCCUCGGACACAGACUCAAGACCUCUUCCGCUUGUGGCAGACAUGCGUGCUCUCCAUCAUUCGCUAACAAGACGUCACAGCAUCUGUCUCCCUUGUGAUUAAAAACGUGUGGGGAGCUAGAACACACAUAUGCCUCAAAUGCUUCUGUUCCAAUAAGAGAAAACUCACAGCUGGCCCUGGGCUGGGGCCAGCCCAUCCAGAUCUGAGCAUAGGAAGACAAGAGGCUUGGUCCUGAACUUCAAGAACAAGCUGAAAACACCAGCUAGCCCCCAGCUAGCUCUCCGUGGGAGUUGGCCACUGACACCACCGUGGAGCCCACAGAGGAGCAGUUUAAUCCCAAUACUUAAUACCACCGAUUACUGGGGAGCUGUGCUGAAGACACCUUCUCUCUUAGGCUCCAUUUCUCAUCCUAAGGGACUUAAUGAAUAUGCACCCACACUUCAUUAUGGGAAAUUUCAAAAGCUUCUGAAGAAAACGAAAGCAGAUUUUGAGUGACACCUUAUAAGAGAAUAGAGAGGAAAUACUAGCAGAAUUUUCAAUCUUGAUUUUAUAAUCCAUUUGCCGAGAUCUGGUUUUACAAGAAUAAAGAAAAGCCCCUAAGCAUAGUAGCUUGUUUUAAUACCCAAAUACAUUAGCAGGCAACUGAGAGCAUCUAACUUGAGAUAUUUGGUCAUACAAGUAUAUCUGAAUAAAUCCUGAAUCUCUGCUGGGCCCUUGUGCUUUGUCUGCACAGAAGCUGGCACCUGUGAGCCUGGCAACUGUGGCAGAGUCGGGAAUCAGCAAUGCCAGGGCCACGGUCAACGGUG